UUAAUAUUAACCAAUAGGUGUUUUAUUGUUAAUAAAAUAUUUGUAUAUUUAA
rnacentral:tRNA from 1 species